rnacentral:rRNA from 1 species
AGGGAUGCCCUAGUAACGGCGAGUGAAGCGGCAACAGCUCAAAUUUGAAAUCUGGCCUCGGCCCGAGUUGUAAUUUGCAGAGGAUGUUUCUGGCGCGGUGCCUUCCGAGUUCCCUGGAACGGGACGCCAAAGAGGGUGAGAGCCCCGUAUGGUCGGACACCAAGCCUGUGUGAAACUCCUUCGACGAGUCGAGUAGUUUGGGAAUGCUGCUCUAAAUGGGAGGUAAAUCUCUUCUAAAGCUAAAUACCGGCCAGAGACCGAUAGCGCACAAGUAGAGUGAUCGAAAGAUGAAAAGCACCUUGAAAAGGGGGUUAAAUAGUACGUGAAAUUGUUGAAAGGGAAGCACUUAUGACCAGACUUGGGCCGGGCGGCUCAUCAGGGGUUCUCCCCUGUGCACUCCGCCCGGCACAGGCCAGCAUCGGUUCUCGUGGGGGGAUAAGACCGUCAGGAACGUAGCACCCUCCGGGGUGUGUUAUAGCCUGGCGGACGAUACCCUCGUGGGGACCGAGGUUCGCGCUCCGCAAGGAUGCUGGCGUAAUGGUCAUCAGUGACCCGUCUUGAAACACGGACCAAGGAGUCGUCCAUUAGAGCGAGCGUUUGGGUGUAAAACCCGCACGCGUAAUGAAAGUGAACGCAGGUGAGAGCUUCGGCGCAUCAUCGACCGAUCCUGAUGUUCUCGGAAGGAUUUGAGUAAGAGUUUUAACGGACGGACCCGAAAGACAGUGAACUAUGCUUGUAUAGGGUGAAGCCAGAGGAAACUCUGGUGGAGGCUCGCAGCGGUUCUGACGUGCAAAUCGAUCGUCAAAUAUGAGCAUGGGGGCGAAAGACUAAUCGAACUGUCUAGUAGCUGGUUACCGCCGAAGUCCCCC